UUCAUCAAAUAAGUCAUGGAAGGCAUUUAAUAAUUCAUCGAAAGAUAAAUCAGCAUCUAAUAAAUUCGUUACCUCAUCUCCGAUGGCCAUUAAGGCGUAAUUGUAACACCCCUCAAUUCCGAAUGUUCGUAUAAAUUUUUGGUGAUAAUGUAAGCAUCUAUUUUAAUUGACAAAAGAAAUAGAGUAUGAAUCAGAGGUAACUUAUUUUUAAGAUUUGGGAGAUCUGUUCAAAAAAAAAAAAAAAAAAAAAAAAAAGAAAGAAUCUGAGGACCUAUAUGUAAACCCUAAGGACCUAAUCGUGAAUAUGAUAAAAACAAGGACUAAACUGCAAAAUGCACCAAAUGACAAAUUCCACCGCUUAAGCCUCUCUGCCUUCGUUGUUAAGGAAGCAGAGGAGGCAGCUCGUGGGUGAUCAGGGAAAGAAAAGAAGAAGAAGAAGAAGAAGAAGAAGAAGGAGAAGAGAAAGAAAAUUUGGGGCUUUUAGGGUUUUUGCUUUAAUCUUGUUACUUCGGGUCAAAAUUUGCAAAGGAUAGCGUAACUCUUGCUUAAAUGUUAAGAAUGGGCUGAGGCAGCGGAAAGUUUAGAAGACGUUGGGCAGAACUUUUGUUAGCAUAUAUGUAGUUGUGUAUAAGCUACCUUGCAUCUAAUGAAAUGUGACUAUGAAUCUAAACCUGUGGAUUUUGUGUAAGUUAAAGGAUCCCUCAUGUAUAGGGUUUUGGAAUGUUAAAUUAAAUUGUGUAAUGAUAUGAACUUAUGGUAAAUCGAUGAUUGUGGUGACUGCA